UACAGAGGGUGCGAGCGUUAAUCGGAAUUACUGGGCGUAAAGGGUUCGUAGGUGGCCAACUAAGUCAGACGUGAAAUCCCUCAGCUUAACUGGGGAACUGCGUCUGAUACUGGAUGGCUUGAGUGUAGGAGAGGAAUGCGGAAUUCCAGGUGUAGCGGUGAAAUGCGUAGAUAUCUGGAGGAACACCGGUGGCGAAGGCGGCAUUCUGGACUACAACUGACACUGAGGAACGAAAGCCAGGGGAGCAAACGGG
rnacentral:rRNA from 1 species